GAGUUUUCAUUACAUAUAUAGCUUAGAUUCUUCUCUGCACUCUUCCUUUCUCGUCAGAGGAAAAAGAAACUACUUUUUUUUUUUUACAUAAAACUUUUGGUUUCUUCUGCCCAAUAAUUCUAACGUUGUCCUUCUUCUACUUCGAUUCCUACUUCUUUUUGUUUCUGUCGAAAAAGAAUCUGUGAAGAUGACAGUGGAACAAGAUAUUGAUGCUAUGGACCAGUUUCCACUAGGGAUGAGAGUUCUUGCCGUUGACGAUGACCAAACUUGUCUCCGUAUUCUCGAGACUUUGCUUCACCGCUGCCAAUACCACGUAACAACAACGGAUAAGGCACAGACCGCACUGGAGUUGUUGAGGGAGAACAAGAACAAGUUUGAUCUCGUGAUCAGCGAUGUUGACAUGCCAGACAUGGAUGGUUUCAAGCUGGUUGAGCUUGUUGGUCUUGAAAUGGACUUACCUGUCAUAAUGUUAUCUGCGCAUAGCGAUCCAAAAUAUGUGAUGAAAGGAGUCAAGCACGGUGCCUGCGACUAUCUCGUUAAACCGGUUCGAAUCGAGGAGCUCAAGAACAUAUGGCAACACGUGGUGAGGAAAAGCAAGUUCAAGAAGAUGAAGAGCGUUGUGACUACUAGUGGUGAAUCUGAGGGAAACUCUGAUCAAAACGGGGUGAGAGCAAACAGAAAGCGUAAAGAUCAGCUUGAAGAGGAAGAUGAAGAACAAGACGAACAAGAAAGAGGGAAUGAAAAGAAGGCUCGUGUUAUUUGGACGCGAGAGCUGCACAACAAGUUCCUAGCAGCUGUUGAUCAUGUGGGCGUUAAGAACGCUGUACCAAAGAAGAUUCUUGAGCUGAUGAAUGUUGACAAUCUCACAAGAGAGAAUGUUGGAAGCCACCUUCAGAAAUUCCGGUUAGCCUUGAAGAAAAUAAACAAUGAAGCCAAUCAACAAGCUAACAUGGACUCACAUUUCAAGCAAAUGAGUUCUCUCAAAGGACUUGGCAGCUUCCACCACUACCGUCCAAUACCUCUUGGAUCCAGUCAGUUCCAUGGUGGAGCCGCAACCAUGAGGCAUUACCCUUCAAAUAGGACCUUGGCAGGAAUGUUCUCAUCAUCGCUUCCUUGUAACCACAAUGAUGGAGGUUACAUGCUUCAGGGAAUGCCACUUCCUCCACUAGAAACUCUUCAUAUAGCCAAUAACAACAACAACAACAAGGCUUUUCCGAGCUUUACUUCACAACAAAGCUCUCCGCUAGUUUCUCCCAAUAAUCACUUUGUUCCUGAGGGUCACCAGGGGUUUUCUCCUCGCUUGGAGAUCAACAAACGUCUUGAAGACUGGUCAAGCGCUGUGUUGUCAAACAACAUUCCACAGAGUAAUCUUCAUUCAAAACCAGAUGCCUUGGAAUGGAACAUGUUCGGCAACUCAACCAGCCCAAACCUGGAUACAACAAAUCAGACGUCAUUCUGCAGAGACACAGAUUUUGGAUCCCCAAAUGCUGCCCAAGCAGACUCUUUUGAUCCAUUACAGAUGAAGCAGCAGCAUGAAAACAUCUUAAGUCCUAUGACAGUUGCUCAACUGUUGAGAAGUAGCAGUGGUAAUGAACGGUUAUUCAUGGGACAACAGAAGCUAGAGAACGGCUUCAUGGCUUCAGAUACCGGUUCCUUGGAUGAUAUAGUCAAUUCCAUGAUGACUCAGGAACAGAGCCAAGCCGAGUUCUCGGAAGGAGAUUGGGUUUGGGUGGCAUAAUAGCUCAGCAUGAGAGUGUUUUAUUCAGACACAAGUCUUUGGUUCUGUCUUUUUAUUUUUGCUCUGUUCUUUCUUUGUGAAGGAAAGGUUCCAACAGAAGCCUCCUUUCUUGUUUCCUUGAUUAGGACCAUAAGAACAACACUGGCAUAUUACUGCAUGACUUCAUCUUGAGCCUACGUUAUCACAUCAUGACUUUUCGUUUUCUAUUAUCUGCAACAUUUCCAAGCACUUAUGAACAAAUGCAGAGAUUGUAACUCAUAUAAUUAGUUAAGGAAGCACUGAAACUUUUUUUUUUUUAAUAACCCAGUAUCCGACCACUAAGCGUGAUCGACUAGCCCACCGGGCUUAUGCCCAUGCCAUUACAGGAAUUUUUAAGCCUCCACUUAAGGGCCCCUGGUUACGCGAAGUGGUCUGGGAGGCGAGAGAAGCCCAUGUAAAUUCUCUCGUGGCCAACGCGGAUCGAACCCAAGGCGGACACUCCAGCCGGAGUUCCUUUACCACUAGGCCAACACGCGUUGGUUUAGCACUGAAACUUUUUUUACCUAGAAUGUGGAUUUUCAGUUUUAACACCAACCCCCAUGCAAUAAGCCAGAUUUUGUGAUCUCUUCUUCGUUUGCUUCCUGGGUACUUCCACAUUAUCUUCAAUGUCAUCAUCAUCAACUGCUUCAGAGGCCU